GGUCAAGUGAAGAAGCGCAUACGGUGGAUGCCUUGGCAGUCAGAGGCGAUGAAAGACGUGGUAGCCUGCGAAAAGCUUCGGGGAGUCGGCAAACAGACUUUGAUCCGGAGAUGUCUGAAUGGGGGAACCCAGCCAUCAUAAGAUGGUUAUCUUGUACUGAAUACAUAGGUGCAAGAGGCGAACCAGGGGAACUGAAACAUCUAAGUACCCUGAGGAAAAGAAAUCAACCGAGAUUCCCUUAGUAGUGGCGAGCGAACGGGGACUAGCCCUUAAGUGGCUUUGAGAUUAGCGGAACGCUCUGGAAAGUGCGGCCAUAGUGGGUGAUAGCCCUGUACGCGAAAAUCUCUUAGUCAUGAAAUCGAGUAGGACGGAGCACGAGAAACUUUGUCUGAAUAUGGGGGGACCAUCCUCCAAGGCUAAAUACUACUGACUGACCGAUAGUGAACUAGUACCGUGAGGGAAAGGCGAAAAGAACCCCGGAGAGGGGAGUGAAAUAGAUCCUGAAACCGUAUGCGUACAAGCAGUGGGAGCCUACUUGUUAGGUGACUGCGUACCUUUUGUAUAAUGGGUCAGCGACUUAUUUUCAGUGGCGAGCUUAACCGAAUAGGGGAGGCGUAGCGAAAGCGAGUCUUAAUAGGGCGUCUAGUCGCUGGGAAUAGACCCGAAACCGGGCGAUCUAUCCAUGGGCAGGUUGAAGGUUGGGUAACACUAACUGGAGGACCGAACCGACUACCGUUGAAAAGUUAGCGGAUGACCUGUGGAUCGGAGUGAAAGGCUAAUCAAGCUCGGAGAUAGCUGGUUCUCCUCGAAAGCUAUUUAGGUAGCGCCUCAUGUAUCACUGUAGGGGGUAGAGCACUGUUUCGGCUAGGGGGUCAUCCCGACUUACCAAACCGAUGCAAACUCCGAAUACCUACAAGUGCCGAGCAUGGGAGACACACGGCGGGUGCUAACGUCCGUCGUGAAAAGGGAAACAACCCAGACCGUCAGCUAAGGUCCCAAAGUUAUGGUUAAGUGGGAAACGAUGUGGGAAGGCUUAGACAGCUAGGAGGUUGGCUUAGAAGCAGCCACCCUUUAAAGAAAGCGUAAUAGCUCACUAGUCGAGUCGGCCUGCGCGGAAGAUGUAACGGGGCUCAAACCAUACACCGAAGCUACGGGUAUCACGUAAGUGAUGCGGUAGAGGAGCGUUCUGUAAGCCUGUGAAGGUGAGUUGAGAAGCUUGCUGGAGGUAUCAGAAGUGCGAAUGCUGACAUGAGUAACGACAAUGGGUGUGAAAAACACCCACGCCGAAAGACCAAGGUUUCCUGCGCAACGUUAAUCGACGCAGGGUUAGUCGGUCCCUAAGGCGAGGCUGAAAAGCGUAGUCGAUGGAAAACAGGUUAAUAUUCCUGUACUUCUGGUUAUUGCGAUGGAGGGACGGAGAAGGCUAGGCCAGCUUGGCGUUGGUUGUCCAAGUUUAAGGUGGUAGGCUGAGAUCUUAGGUAAAUCCGGGAUCUUAAGGCCGAGAGCUGAUGACGAGCUAACUUUUAGUUAGCGAAGUGGUUGAUGCCAUGCUUCCAAGAAAAGCUUCUAAGCUUCAGGUAACCAGGAACCGUACCCCAAACCGACACAGGUGGUUGGGUAGAGAAUACCAAGGCGCUUGAGAGAACUCGGGUGAAGGAACUAGGCAAAAUGGCACCGUAACUUCGGGAGAAGGUGCGCCGGUGAGGGUGAAGGACUUGCUCCGUAAGCUCAUGCCGGUCGAAGAUACCAGGCCGCUGCGACUGUUUAUUAAAAACACAGCACUCUGCAAACACGAAAGUGGACGUAUAGGGUGUGACGCCUGCCCGGUGCCGGAAGGUUAAUUGAUGGGGUUAGCUAACGCGAAGCUCUUGAUCGAAGCCCCGGUAAACGGCGGCCGUAACUAUAACGGUCCUAAGGUAGCGAAAUUCCUUGUCGGGUAAGUUCCGACCUGCACGAAUGGCGUAACGAUGGCGGCGCUGUCUCCACCCGAGACUCAGUGAAAUUGAAAUCGCUGUGAAGAUGCAGUGUAUCCGCGGCUAGACGGAAAGACCCCGUGAACCUUUACUAUAGCUUUGCACUGGACUUUGAAUUUGCUUGUGUAGGAUAGGUGGGAGGCUUUGAAGCGUGGACGCCAGUUCGCGUGGAGCCAUCCUUGAAAUACCACCCUGGCAACUUUGAGGUUCUAACUCAGGUCCGUUAUCCGGAUCGAGGACAGUGUAUGGUGGGUAGUUUGACUGGGGCGGUCUCCUCCUAAAGAGUAACGGAGGAGUACGAAGGUGCGCUCAGACCGGUCGGAAAUCGGUCGUAGAGUAUAAAGGCAAAAGCGCGCUUGACUGCGAGACAGACACGUCGAGCAGGUACGAAAGUAGGUCUUAGUGAUCCGGUGGUUCUGUAUGGAAGGGCCAUCGCUCAACGGAUAAAAGGUACUCCGGGGAUAACAGGCUGAUACCGCCCAAGAGUUCAUAUCGACGGCGGUGUUUGGCACCUCGAUGUCGGCUCAUCACAUCCUGGGGCUGAAGCCGGUCCCAAGGGUAUGGCUGUUCGCCAUUUAAAGUGGUACGCGAGCUGGGUUUAGAACGUCGUGAGACAGUUCGGUCCCUAUCUGCCGUGGACGUUUGAGAUUUGAGAGGGGCUGCUCCUAGUACGAGAGGACCGGAGUGGACGAACCUCUGGUGUUCCGGUUGUCACGCCAGUGGCAUUGCCGGGUAGCUAUGUUCGGAAUAGAUAACCGCUGAAAGCAUCUAAGCGGGAAACUAGCCUCAAGAUGAGAUCUCACUGGAACCUUGAGUUCCCUGAAGGGCCGUCGAAGACUACGACGUUGAUAGGUUGGGUGUGUAAGCGCUGUGAGGCGUUGAGCUAACCAAUACUAAUUGCCCGUGAGGCUUGACCAU
rnacentral:rRNA from 1 species